GAAGUUAAAAGGGGCUUGAGUUAGUAAAAGGCAGAAGAAUUAGGCAACGGUUAAACAGCAGCUUCUUUAACAAGGGUCAGAACCCUCAAUUUUUCUUCUUCUCCCUCUCAAUCAGUGCAGCGAAUCUCGAAUCUACGACUUCCGGACAUCUGAAUCUCCUUGUUCGCAAUUAAGAUAUGAGUCGGCAGAAUGACGAAACUUUGUCAGAUGAGUACAAGUCGGAAGCAGAAUGUUUGGAGCAGGUAGGAGGUGGAUCAAAGAGGAAGAAGAAUUUCAAAGGAAGUAAGAGGAAGAAGUGGUUGAAAUGUGUGGCAGAAGAGGUUGGAAGCGAAUGUAUGAGGAGGGAAUUUAAAUUUACAAGAGAUAUGUUUAGAUAAAUGGUCUAAGUGAAGGUGGUGCAGUGAGACCACAUGGUGAGGUUUGUAAAACGCAACUAAUAAACUGCAAAGAUGCGCAUCCUAAUGUGAAUUGUAGGGUGGAGACAUUAGGGAAAGUUGUUGGUGGAUUUAAUGCAUUGAAAGUGCAGUGGGUUAUGGGCAUGGGUUUUUGGAGGUUUGUUGGAGUUGAAGCAUAGAAGAUUGCCGCGUUCGUUAUGCUAUUGUGAUUCAACUUUGUUAUGUUAUGUUGUUAUGUUGUUUAUUUUCGCUAAGUAGAUGGAUCUUAAUUUGUUACAUUAUGAUUAGUAAUUCAAAUGUCUGUAGUAUUCAACUUUCGGAUUUAUUAAAUAAUAUGUUUCCCUUUUUAAAUUCA